rnacentral:rRNA from 1 species
AUUGAACGCUGGCGGCAGGCCUAACACAUGCAAGUCGAGCGGAUGAAGGGAGCUUGCUCCUGGUUUCAGCGGCGGACGGGUGAGUAAUGCCUAGGAAUCUGCCUGGUAGUGGGGGAUAACGUCCGGAAACGGGCGCUAAUACCGCUAACGUCCUGCGGGAGAAAGUGGGGGAUCUUCGGAUCUCACGCUAUCAGAUGAGCCUAGGUCGGAUUAGCUAGUUGGUGGGGUAAAGGCCUACCAAGGCGACGAUCCGUAACUGGUCUGAGAGGAUGAUCAGUCACACUGGAACUGAGACACGGUCCAGACUCCUACGGGAGGCAGCAGUGGGGAAUAUUGGACAAUGGGCGAAAGCCUGAUCCAGCCAUGCCGCGUGUAUGAAGAAGGUCUUCGGAUUGUAAAGCACUUUAAGUUGGGAGGAAGGGCAGUAAGUUAAUACCUUGCUGUUUUGACGUUACCAACAGAAGAAGCACCGGCUAACUUCGUG